GGAGGGAUGGCAGAGCGGACGAAUGCGACGGUCUUGAAAACCGUUUAGGUGCAAGCCUACGAGGGUUCGAAUCCCUCUCCCUCCG
rnacentral:tRNA from 1 species